GGUUGAUCCUGCCAGUAGUCAUAUGCUUGUCUCAAAGAUUAAGCCAUGCAUGUCUAAGUACAGGCUUUGGUACAGCGAAACCGCGAAUGGCUCAUUAAAUCAGCUAUAAUUUAUUAGAUUGUUCUUUACUUGGAUAACUGUGGGAAUUCUAGAGCUAAUACAUGCACAAAAGCUCCGACCUUCGGGAAGGAGUGCAGUUAUUAGACCAAAACCAGCCGAGCUUCGGCUCGAACUGUUUGGUGACUCUGGAUAACGAUGAGCGGAUCGCAUGGCCUUGAGCCGGCGACGUAUCUUUCAAGUGUCUGACCUAUCAACUGACGAUGGUACGCGAUAUGCCUACCAUGGUGAUAACGGGUAACGGAGAAUAAGGGUUCGACUCCGGAGAGGGAGCCUGAGAAAUGGCUACCACAUCCAAGGAUGGCAGCAGGCGCGCAAAUUACCCACUCUCAGUACGAGGAGGUAGUGACGAAAAAUAACAAUGCGGGACUCAUCAGAGGCCUCGCAAUUGGAAUGAGCGCACUUUAAAUCGUUCGACGAGGAUCUAUUGGAGGGCAAGUCUGGUGCCAGCAGCCGCGGUAACUCCAGCUCCAAUAGCGUAUAUUAAAGUUGUUGCAGUUAAAAAGCUCGUAGUUGGAUCUGGGGUUCGGGUCGGCGGUUUGCCGCUUCGGCGGCUACUGCCGUGCUCGACUCUUACUAGCCGGUGCGUCUUGCGGUGCUCUUCAUCGAGUGCCGUAGGAGCCUGGCAUGUUUACUUUGAAAAAAUUAGAGUGCUCAAAGCAGGCGAUUCCGCCUGAAUAGUGUUGCAUGGAAUAAUGGAAUAGGACCUCGGUUCUAUUUUGUUGGUUUUCGGAACUUGAGGUAAUGAUUAAGAGGGACGGUCGGGGGCAUUCGUAUUUCGGUGUUAGAGGUGAAAUUCUUGGAUCGCUGAAAGACGGACAAAUGCGAAAGCAUCUGCCAAGAACGUCUCCAUUAAUCAAGAACGAAAGUCAGAGGUUCGAAGACGAUCAGACACCGUCCUAGUUCUGACCAUAAACGAUGCCAACUAGCGAUCCGCAGUGGUUGCUAUAAACGGACUCUGCGAGCAGCUUCCGGGAAACCAAAGUGUUUGGGUUCCGGGGGAAGUAUGGUUGCAAAGCUGAAACUUAAAGGAAUUGACGGAAGGGCACCACCAGGAGUGGAGCCUGCGGCUUAAUUUGACCCAACACGGGGAAACUCACCCGGUCCGGACACUGUAAGGAUUGACAGAUCGAGAGCUCUUUCUUGAUUCGGUGGAUGGUGGUGCAUGGCCGUUCUUAGUUGGUGGAGUGAUUUGUCUGGUUAAUUCCGAUAACGAACGAGACUCUAGCCUGCUAACUAGUUGCGCCGUGUUCAUACGCGGCUGUAGACUUCUUAGAGGGACAGGUGGCG
rnacentral:rRNA from 1 species